UCCAGACUCCUACGGGAGGCAGCAGUGGGGAAUAUUGGGCAAUGGGCGCAAGCCUGACCCAGCAACGCCGCGUGAAGGAAGAAGGCUUUCGGGUUGUAAACUUCUUUUAAGAGGGAAGAGUAGAAGACGGUACCUCUUGAAUAAGCAUCGGCUAACUCCGUGCCAGCAGCCGCGGUAAUACGGAGGAUGCGAGCGCUAUCCGGAUUUAUUGGGUUUAAAGGGUGCGUAGGCGGUAUUUUAAGUUAGUGGUAAAACGUCGGGGCUUCACCUUGAUUGGCCAUUAAAACUGGAGUACUAGAGUACAGACGAGGUAGGCGGAAUAAGUUAAGUAGCGGUGAAAUGCUUAGAUAUAACUUAGAACCCCGAUAGCGAAGGCAGCUUACCAGACUGUUACUGACGCUGAAGCACGAGAGCGUGGGUAGCGAACAGGAUUAGAUACCCUUGUAU
rnacentral:rRNA from 1 species